rnacentral:rRNA from 1 species
UACAGAGGGUGCGAGCGUUAAUCGGAAGUACUGGGCGUAAAGCGCACGUAGGUGGCGACGUAAGUCGGGUGUGAAAGCCCCGGGCUCAACCUGGGAAUUGCAUUCGAGACUGCAUUGCUGGAGUACGGAAGAGGAAGGCGGAAUUCCCGGUGUAGCGGUGAAAUGCGUAGAUAUCGGGAGGAACAUCAGUGGCGAAGGCGGCCUUCUGGUCCAGUACUGACACUCAAGUGCGAAAGCGUGGGGAGCAAACAGG